UGGAAGAAAUGCCUCAUGGAGAGUUAAUGGUUGAAGGGAAGUAAAUUCAUGGAUAAUGCACCAAUAUACGUCUCAUUUGCACCAUUUUGUUUCUGUGUCCCUGCCUGUAUACUCUACCUGCCUGGGAAAAUAUGAAAUUGACAGCUUUGAGACAGUGAUCUCCUCCUUUCUGUAUAGAGAGCAGAGGCAGAGGAGUGGCUGAACAUUCCUCACAGGACUGCCCCUUAGCAAGAAACCACAAUGAUCUGAUGCCAACAACCAAUGUUUGACUUAUGCCGGCCUUGACUUAAAGUUUGGAGGAGGAGGAGAGAGUGAAAACUGUUCACAGUAUCCGGGCAUAACUGCUAUCUUGGGUGCACUUUGUAGUUCUGGAGCACAUCUUGGACGUAUCUGAUGGAUGCAGACUUAAUCCAUAGCACCUGCCUCUGCUUUGAAGGCCACCUCCAUGUAACCCAACUGUACUGGAGAUUCAGCCACACCUUGGAUUGAUUCUCCAUAAAUUCAUAAGGCUGACAGAAGCAAUCAUUUACAGUCCGUAUUAUCUAUUAUCAGGCAUUCUCUUUGCAGGUCACUACUCAGAAGAAGCAAGCAUGUGUGCAGAUAAGGUGUACUCCAUUUUAUUGUUUUUCCACUGUAAUGUGAAAAAAGGAACUUGCUGAGGUUAAACGUUCAAAAACGAGCUUGUAGAUAUUUUGUCCACAAAAGUUCAGAUGAAGAAACAGGUUAAAGUGGUACAGUAUGUGGAAAGCCCCUUUCUGGUCAGUGAUAAAAUGUAAAGAAGUGCUUCUCCAUAUUGCAAGUACUAAAAUACCAGAGACUGUAUCUACAUGUCAGAAAAAUGUCACAUGAAGGCAGACUAAGAAGCUUCCAGACCUACAUCAAGCACCACAUAACUCUUCCUUUGCUCUGGGUUAAUGCAUGUGAAACAGCAGCUGUUUUACUCUAGUGUAUGUUGGGGCGAUGUCAUGUAAAGCAACAGGAAUGACAGUGGAUUGAGGAAGGAUUUAGAGCAAUGGUUCCCAACCUUAAUUCCCCAGAUGUCCAGAAGCCUUCACCUCUAGCUGUGUUUGC